ACCGAACUGUAAUCUCUAGUAGAUAGCAGUCGGAUUUUUUUUUUCACCUUCCGGGUGUCAGAAUGAUAUGAAACUUUAAAUCUAGCCUCAUAAAAAUAAUUCUGACAUAUUCUUCAGUUUUCAUAAUUUUUUGAUACUAUGCAUUUUCUGCUAAAAUAUCAGUCUCGUUUCUCGCAGAAAAUUCUAAAUCUUUUGUUUGCGUUCCGAUUUCAGCACAAGUCAUUUCCGACAUAUUUUACUUUUCUAAAUCCAAUAAAAAUAGUAUCUCACACUAUUUUUAUUUAUUUUUACUUUUAUAUCAAAAUCUGGUAUGUUACAGUACCGGUACCCUGUGUGUUUGCUCGCUUGACAGAGGCUCGGGUUUACGCGCGUGGCUGCGAGGUACCGGUACUCCAGCCCGCGUACUGGUACGCAGUGCAGAUGCAGUCUGAAUAUUUUUUAGGGUUCUUUUUGGAAU
rnacentral:lncRNA from 1 species